UUCAGUCUGAGAGGGAAAGGACACUUCACUCCGAUGUAAUACCCUAGGGAGUGACAUUUGCGUGGAAUGUCAAGUUCUGGGAACUUGCUGUUAAUUACUGUGCUUUCCAAGUAUCUCACCAAGAAGGAAGAUGGUUUUGCAUAUUGAAUUCUUUAGAGAAUGAUCCCUUAUGACUUUCAUGAGUGUUAAAGUUUGAGUAUUAAGAGCAAAGAGAACAUGGACCCCGCUGGAAUGUAAACACCAUG